rnacentral:rRNA from 1 species
AGAAUCAACGCUGGCGGCGUGCCUAACACAUGCAAGUCGAACGAGAAAGGGUAGCAAUACCUGAGUACAGUGGCGCACGGGUGAGUAACACGUGACUAACCUACCCUGGAGUGGGGAAUAACUGAGGGAAACCUUAGCUAAUACCGCAUAAUACCUACGGGUCAAAGGAGCAAUUCGCUUCAGGAGGGGUCGCGCCGAUUAGCUAGUUGGCGGGUAAUGGCCCACCAAGGCAAUGAUCGGUA